GUCUACCUCUUGCGGCCAGCAUACGUCAUUAACUGUCAGACAGAGAAAGGGAUACACGGUUGCAAGGGGUUGAGCUAAACGCAAGGAAGAGAGAGGUCGACUUCGGAGGUAACCAUGGCGAUGACGGGCCAGACUUCCUGCUCCUCAAUGAGUAACCACACUAAGGAGAGAGUGACCAUGGCUAAGGUGACCCUGGAGAACUUCUACAGCAAUCUCAUUGCCCAGCAUGAGGAGAGGGAGAUGAGGCAGCAAAAGUUAGAGAAAGUGAUGGAUCAGGAGGGCUUGGCUGAUGAAGAGAAACGUAUCCGGCGUUCCCAACACGCCAGGAAGGAGACAGAGUUUCUUCGCCUCAAACGCACCCGUCUGGGCCUGGAGGACUUUGAGUCCCUCAAGGUGAUUGGACGAGGGGCUUUCGGAGAGGUGCGUUUGGUGCAGAAGAAAGACACAGGCCACGUCUACGCCAUGAAAAUCCUCCGCAAGGCUGACAUGCUGGAGAAGGAACAGGUGGGCCACAUCCGUGCUGAGAGGGACAUACUGGUGGAGGCCGACAGUUUGUGGGUGGUGAAGAUGUUCUACAGCUUCCAAGACAAGAUGAACCUCUACCUCAUCAUGGAGUUCCUGCCUGGUGGUGACAUGAUGACCCUGCUGAUGAAAAAGGAUACUCUGACUGAGGAGGCCACUCAGUUCUACAUCGCAGAAACGGUGCUGGCUAUCGACUCCAUACACCAGCUGGGCUUCAUUCACAGAGACAUCAAACCAGACAACCUGCUGCUGGACUCGAGGGGCCACGUCAAGCUGUCUGACUUUGGGCUGUGUACUGGGCUGAAGAGGGCUCACCGCACUGAGUUCUACAAGAACCUCAACCACAGCCUGCCCAGUGACUUCAGUAAGCAAACAUUCCAGAACAUGAACUCUAAGAGGAAAGCAGAGACAUGGAAGAGGAACAGACGACAACUGGCCUUUUCCACAGUUGGCACACCUGACUACAUUGCCCCGGAAGUCUUCAUGCAGAACGGCUACAACAAGCUGUGUGAUUGGUGGAGCCUGGGCGUCAUCAUGUAUGAGAUGCUGAUAGGGUACCCCCCGUUCUGCUCCGAGACCCCUCAGGAGACCUACAGGAAGGUAAUGAACUGGCGGGAAACCCUGACUUUUCCUCCAGAAGUGCCUAUCUCUGAGAGGGCCAAAGACCUCAUCCUCAGGUUCUGCUGUGAGGAGGAGACCCGGAUCGGAGCCACAGGGAUGGAGGAGAUCAAGGCCAACGCCUUCUUUGAGGGAGUCGACUAUGACCACAUCAGAGAGAGACCAGCUGCCAUUCCCAUAGAGAUCAAAAGCAUCGAUGACACGUCCAACUUCGACGAGUUUCCUGAUUCAGACAUCAUCCAGCCCACAGCAGCCCCGGUGGUGUCUAACCAGACGGAAGCGGACUUGAAGAACAAGGACUGGGUUUUCAUCAACUACACCUACAAGCGUUUUGAGGGCCUCACCGCCCGCGGAGCCAUCCCCUCCUACAUGAAAUCAGGGAAGAGAUGAAGCCUGCAGCCGUCCCUUUGAAACUCCUCGCUCGCUCUCUCCAUCUGCCUCCCUCGAGCUGGCGUCAGGGGGACACCACCGUUAGAGGACAACCCUUCGUCCCCUCAGAUGCUAGGACAAACUAGACUCCAGAAUGGAGGCCCCUUUUCGGUAUGAACCCAGAGUGAUGGAGAUCUGGAUGCCCUUUUUCCCACCCCCACUCUGCCCUUUUUUUGGCAGUGGUUUGGUCCAAGGACUCUGGAUUCAAUGAGCAGAGACGAUUCCAUUCACAUUAGCGGGGAGGGUUUGAUCUGUGUCCAUGAUGCAAAUGGAUAACAGGCCUCACCUUUUUCUUUUUUUUUUUUUUUUCUUUUUUUACAUUAGUUGUCCAUGUUCCAAGACCAGAACGCAUUUAUACCACAGAAUUUUUACAUGUGUGUUCCACCAAAGAGCAGUCUUGGAGGUGUUGCUAAUACUUUAGCCUUCGUUUAUCUUUACUAUCAUCGGUUUCAACUCAUCUACGACUGAUUCUAUGCUUCAGCAUGGACUGACUCGGCCCCCUUGUCACACCAGCAGACUACUGCAGGCCUUCUCUUUGACCCCCAGUACCAGCAUCCUUCACUUCUCUCUGAUUAACCAACACAACGUCUUAUACUUGGCUGUGGCACCAGCAGUGGAUUUGCAUGUCUGUAAAGGGCUGUUAAUGUCUGUACAUUUUCAACUCUUCAAAAUGUUUUUUUAUUAUACAGAAGUGAAUUCAUGCUUUUCAGGGACUGUGUAAACAUGUUUUUAAACAGUUUUGUUUUUAGAGAGCUCUUUUCAAGUGCUUCUAUGAGUUUGGAAACAACAUUUUGACUGUUGAAAAAUGUAGCUCCUAACCAAAGACUCAGAACAGAUGUAGGCUUAAUCUUGUCAAAAUUAAGUCCUUAUUUUUGAGUCUAUGUGGGUAAGUUGUCUAAUCUUUCUACAAUUUAGAUUUCUGAGCUGUUUCUUACAUGGAAAUAUGCAAAAGUUAAUAGCAAUAUAAUCCACAUAGUUGCACACUUUGAUUCCUUAAAAAGAAAACACUUGAUUGUAAUAAUCUCAGUAACCCAGACAUUUAGAUGCACCUCUUAGUGUCUUUUAGACAAUCAUCUGCUUGGUUCAUUGUAGCGCCUUCAUUCUGUGGAAUCGGAUUUAGAAAGUUGCAUAUCAAAUUGCUUGUCUAAAUGUGGCAGUUUGUGGAGCUGCAAGUCUUUAGCUAGAAAACAUAAAGGGAUCCAGAAAGAAGCUGUAUGAUGCCUUUCAUCAAUGGUUUCAUCAACAGUUCAAUGGAGUCAACUAGAUUGAGGGUAGUCAUUAAGAUAUUACCUAUCCCCAGAUAUAAAAAAAAAAUACAUUUAAAUUCUCUGAACGGUCUAGGUAUGACACGUGCCGAAGUAGUAGUCAGGAUAGCUGAAGGACAGCAGGAAAUGACACCAUUCCUGUUUUUUCACUUCCUGCCGUUUUAAUUCUCUCUCGCCUUGGCGGGAGAAUAACCGACCUGACAUUCGUAUGAAACGUGCGUCUCAACCAAGAUGAGUGCACGUCACGUCUACUGGAUUGUGUGUGUGAGUCCCCCACCUCCGAAGAGAACACAGCUGUGAUGACAAUGACAGCAGAUCCAGGUCUGUCUAAUUGUCUGUAGAAAACAAAACAAAAAAACCCCCACAUGAUCCCAAAUGCUGUUGUUUAGAAUUGAAUGUAAUCCAUGGUUGUUGAAGAGUGACAUUGAUGCCACCCAAACUCCAGAAUGCUGUCAUAUAUGAAUGGUAUUGAGCCUGGACCACUGAAGUGGCGGUAAGGCUUCUGUCUCACAGGGUAAGAUGUCGUCCUGUCCAAGUCUUUUCUGAAUUAUAUGUCCAGUGUUUCCUGCUGGUGUGUCAGGAUUGUGUGAAUCCAGGCAUUUUAGACGAACGAGUAACGAGAAAUGUUUCUAUGCUGGUCUCACUUGUUUUUCUUUUAUCAACGCUUGAUGUUGGGAUGAUCCUUCCGCGUGCUUUUCUGAAAGCGUUUGUGAGCGAGCAAGAUGGUGAAGUGCAAAUGAUGCGGAAUAAAUCUUUUUUUUAUUUUUUUUAUUUAUGCUGCUUGUGUGCGCGUGUGAAUUUGAGGGAUAUGUGAUUGUGUUCUUGUUGUAAGAUCAUGCGUUUUAGUUUGAUAAUGUUAGAAUUUACACUGAUGGGGUGGGGGGCUGUGUUAGGCUACUUAUGUUGAAGACAUGUAACCCUGUCUGUGUGCCCCUACUGUUUGAAAAUGUGGAAACACUGUUCAAAACUCUUAGGAUCGUCAAAUUGUAAACAGAGAGGUGGGGGGGUCAUUGUAAUUAAUUCACUGUUCUUGAUGUGUGUGUGUGUGUGUGGGGGGGGGUUCUAUCGUAUAGUUUCUGCUAUUGGACAAUGAAUAACUCUGCACUUAAUCCCUGUGUUGUGUCCAGUGUAGACUGUUUGAAUGAAUGGACCCCACUGAAGCUUUCUAGUAUUCUAGAGCUAUUUUUAGGAUCCCUGUACUGAACACUGCUCAACAAGGCUGUUUGCUGAUUGUUGUUUGUUUUAGGUGGGUGGGGGGGUCACAAUCCUUUCUGUGUUUAUGUAGUGGGCUAACUUAAUGGGUACUUAAUGGGUGGUUCUUCACCCUUGGGUAAUUAUUUACCUCCACCGAAAACAUUUGUCGAAUAGGUUUCUAUUACUGCAGCCAAGUCAGUCUUAGCAAUGCUUCUCAACUGGUCCAUGGAUACUAAACAUACAGGAGUUUUAUUGUAAAGGGGUGUGGUGUCACAUGAAAAGCCAGUUUCUGAAGCAUUUAAAGGAAACUGACUAGCCACACCUACACGCCCCUCUAAUUAAACAAGGACAAGAAGUUAGCAGGACAAACCUGUUCUUCAAGACCCAUCCUGGAAGUUGUCGGUCUAGGCAACAAAAGGUCUAGACAUAAUUUGUACCAUAGACUGUAGAACUGGCAACACUGCAUGGUUGAGAUGUCACAAGUAGAAUGUUUACUUGAUUAGCACCCAUGCAAUUGGGGUAGCCUUUUUCUGCCUUAAUGUAAGUUUUCUGGAUUUGGUUUUUCUCUGGUAAAUUUAAAGAGCACAUUUGUACAGCCUGUUAAUGGCAACCGGCUUGUGUCACUGGUGGUAGCAAUAGCCUGCACUAUAAUGAAGGUAGACUAACAGCAUUAAAUAAAACACCAGUUUGUUUGAA